AGUGAACGCUGGCGGUAGGCCUAACACAUGCAAGUCGAACGGCAGCACCGUGCUUGCUUGCUGUUCCGGGUGGGGAGUCGCGGGCGGGAGAGGAAUACAUCCGACUCUACUUUUUCGGGGGGCAUCACGUAGGGGGACUUACUCCAGUACAGCAUACGCCGUACGAGGGAAAGCAUGGGAACUUCGGACCUUGCGCGAUUGAAUGAGCCGAUGUCGAAUUAGCUAGUUGGCGGGGUGCAGACCCACCAAGGCGACGAUCCGUAGCUGGUCGGAGUGGAGGAUCAGCCACAUUGGAACUGAGACACGGCCCAUACUCCUACGGGAGGCAGCAGUGGGCAACAUGGGACAAUGGGCGCAAGCCUGAUCCAGCCAGACCGCGUCUGUUAAGAAGGCGUUCGGGUUGUAAAGCCCUUUUGUGGGGUAAGAAAAGCAGUAGGCUAUUACCCCGCUGUUGUGACGGUACUGAAAGAAUAAGCACCGGCUAACUUCGUG
rnacentral:rRNA from 1 species